rnacentral:rRNA from 1 species
CUGAAAUUCGCCUUCAUGAAGCCGGAAUUGCUAGUAAUGGCAGGUCAGCAUACUGCCGUGAAUACGUUCCCGGGCCUUGUACACACCGCCCGUCACACCAUGAGAGUUGGGAAUACCCGAAGCCUGUGAGCUAACGAAAGAGGCAGCAGUCGAAGGUAGAAUCAAUGAUUGGGGUGAAGUCGUAACAAGGUAGC